ensembl:lncRNA
UGCAAUGAGUCACAGUGCCCUUGCUAUCUAGACAUGUUAUUUAUCCCUUGUGAGUCUCUUUUUUCUCUCAUUUGCUACAUGCCCAAAUGCAGCUAACAGUCUCACUAAAAAAGAUACAGUAAUAGUUAUUGCUGGUCUAGACGUAGGUGUCCUGUUGCUGUGUUUAGUCGGAGUGAAGUGGGAAGCAGUUUUCAUUCACACAGAUUAUCAGAAUACAGCUUGCCUGAUGUAAUGCCUACAAGAUGUCAGAACUACUCUUCUCCUGGGAUUUGGAAAAACAAAUAGGACCUGAUACUUUAUCUGGAGUUAAUAUUCUGUCUCAAUCUGACUUACCCUAAAUUUCCCGUAAAUCUUUUUUUGUUUUUCCCUAUUUCAUCAUCUGAGAAACCACGUGUUGCAAAGAAAAUUCGCUCACUGUUCUUUUCUGGAAUGCUAAUUGUCAACUUAGAUCAGUUUAGCAUGCAAAACCUCCCUCUGUACUGCCGGACAGGGGUCAGUGCUGCCAAUGAACUGCGAGUAGCAGCUACUGAUUCCAAAUUUAAAAUAAUUAGCAUCAGCACAGCUGACAGAACACACUGCACAGUGGCAUUUGAUACCUUUUGGAAGCUGAAAAAUGUGGACACUAGCUGAUAACAACUCUUUUUCCUUUUUAAAACAAGCAGAGUUUUAUAGGUGGAUCUAGGUUCUCAGCAGAGCAGGCACAGGGUCUCCAUUCCCUGGCUGGGUUGCAUGGAUUCUUGAUGGAAAGGUUUUGCCUCUUGCCUCUAAAGCAGCUUGGAAUUUAGAUACUUCAUGUAGUUUCUAUACAAUGACAUCUAAGGAGGACAUAAAUAUAACUGAAAUUCUAGGGAGUAUUUUUUCUUCACCUAAUUGAAUGUUUUCCCCUAAAACAUAAAAGCAACUAGGGGUACAGUCUUGGCUAGAAUUAAAGACCAGAGCAGUAUAACUGAAACUGCAGGUUAUGCUGUAUCUCAUCCUUGGCAGCACAGACAUGAUGAAUUUGCUGCUUUGAGCUGCUUCUAUCUCCAGAGAACAUCUGAGAUUGAAAUCAGUGUUAAUAUUUGCACAUACAAGUAAGGGGGUUCCCACCGUGAAGCCUGGUGCAUUUAGAAAGACUGAGUUUAUGUAGUCUGAUGUCCCAGCAGCCAUAAAGGAACCUGUUCUUCAGGAUGUGCUGCCUCUUCAAGGACAUCCCAAAUGUUCCUGCAGGAAUCAUUCUUCUGCAUCCUUUGCAGCUGGCUGUGGGACUAAGGUUGCAUUUUCUUUGCUGCCCAGAGUGUUACAGCAGGACCACUGAUGGUGGGCUCACUCCCCCGAUUGCAGGGGAUGGGUACAUUAAUGUCCUGAAUUGUGGCUCUUCGUGUGGGUGGGCUGGGAUCCCAUAGGAGGAUUAUUGGUAGGGAAUGGCAAAGAAUAGAUAAAUAGAUUAAAGAGCCUGAAUAUCAGAACUCUCCUGACAUGGGAAAUGGGUAACCGAGAUCCCGUGAUUCACUCUUCACAAAUGCAUCUUUGUUGCUUGGGAUUCAUGGUCUUCAUGGCUAUUACCAAAGACUGAGGCCGGGGUGGAUGCCUGUUGCUUAAAUUGGUGACAGUGGUCUUUGCUACAAAAAGGUGUCUUCCUCUUGCUCUGGUUAUUUUCCAGCUUUGCUUCCCCAAACAGGGAUGUCAGGAGGGCAUUGGAUCCCACGGAGCGUGCAGGUAAGUUUCCAUCUUGAGAGUGGUGUUCAAUAAGGCCAAGUGCAAGAUGCUGUAUCUGGGUUAGUGCAAUCCCUGAUGUGUGUACAGACUGGGAGAACUCAUUGAGAGCAGCUCUGCCAAGAAGGACUUGGGGAUUCUGGUGGAUGAACAGAUGGACAUGAGCCAGCAGUGAGCACUGGCAGUUCAGAAGGCCAACUCUAUCCUGGGCUGCAUCAAAAGAUGGUGACCAGCAGGAAGAGGGAGGUGACUGUCCCCCCUGCUCAGCCCUUGUGAAGUCACAUUGGGAGUACUGUGUCCAGAUCUGGGGACCCCAGCACAGGAAGGAUGCAGAUCUGUUGGAGUGGGUCCAGAAGCAGACCAUGAAGAUGAUCAGAGGGCUGAAGCAUCUCUCCUAUAAAGGGCUGAGACAGCUAAACACGUUCAGCCUGGAGAAGGUUCCAGGGAGACCACAUUGCAGCCUUCCAGUACUUAAACGGAAGAUUAAAUGUAAUGGAGAGAAAAGCAGUAGCAAUGGGAAAGGCAAACAACACUGUCUUUUCACCUUCUUCUCUUCAGAGCCGUUUAGGGGUGUGUGACAGAGGCACCAUUACAGGAAGAUGUCUUAGCGCUGUGGAAACAAUAAACUGGAGAACAGACCAUAGAAGAAUCACAGCGUGGGGAGAUUUACAUUCAUCAGGCCACCUGGAGAGUAUUUCUGGAUGUGCAGUUCUAUCAGAUACUUCUUGGGCUGCCCAACCUACUCAUUGCUGGCAUUCUUAAUGCACAUAUGCUGCAGGGUCACUGUGUUCCGCCUCCAAAAACCAGCUAUAUCACCUUCGCUAUUUCAGUCAACACUGUCAUUAGGUUUAUUUUCGCAAGCACUGGUAACGUGGCAGUCACGCUUUUAUUAGCACUCUGACCUCUAUGAGUGCAUGUGACUUGCUCAGAAAGCAAAGCCUUCUCUUUAGUUGAGGAGGGCUUUAUCAGCCUUUCUUCCCCUUCUCCAGAGCAAAGAAUCUGCAGAGUAAAGCAUCUUGUUUAUCAGUCCAACUGUGACCUUUGAUGUCUGAGGCAUCAGUCUGAGGUGAAAGGGACAGCCCCAUCAUGUUGUACCACAGGCUCAGAACCAAGUUGAAGCCUACUGCUGUCAGCUUGUGUUUGUCUGAAGCAUUGCUGUGCUUCUCUCCCUGCCUUUGGAGUUCCCUUGCCUGAUGCUGAAUCCAGACUUAGGAUGCUGCUGAUAAUUAAUCACACCUCAUGAAUUUCAGUCCUAAAAAUAAACCUUUAGUCAUCUCUGAGUACAUACAGAAAGGACCAUCCAUCAUUGAGGAGGCAGGAAAAGCUCCCUUGCCUUUUUUCCUUGUAAAUGCAAAGAAAUUGCUGGGAAAGGAGAAAUAGGGGAGCUGCUACUAUCCUCAAGAGUCAGAGCAAGAAAAAGAAGGCUGGCAGCUCAGGACAGCUGCACUAUUUCUGCUAUUAUAUGCAUUUUAGCCUGCUUUUUCAUUCCUCCCCCUCCCUUCUUCCUUAUUGCAACAUGAUGCUUGCCUAGUAGAAAGGCAGAGCCUGAAACAGCUUGCCUGGAGGCCUGGGAGGGGAGGAAAGGGCAGUUUCUAUUGCAGGAUCCGGAGGAGGCCAAAGGGUAUGGAGGAGCAAAGGGCAGGGAUGUGGCUGGAGUAGCACAGGCAGGAAGCUGCAGGACGGAGUUAAGGAGGAACACUGAAUUAUUUCUCUUUGGAAGAACAUUUGGUUAAAAGUUAAGAAGCCUCCUGGAAUGGAUAGAAAUGGAUUCAGUAUAAUUUCAUUUAGUCUGCUUGAAGUACAGAAACCGGGAGCAUUACAUCUUGCUCCAUGAAAGCAGAAUUUAAGCCAUACACACACAUACAGAGCUCAGGUCCUUCUGUGAUACUGAACUCCCUGUGUCCAACUGAUGUGAAAUCCCACACCUGAUCCUCCUUCAGAUAUGGCACUUCUGGAUCUAGCUCCAUUUUUCCACCAACAGUGUUGUCUUCUGAAUGUCAGAAGCUUCCUUAAGGUGUCACCUCGGAGAUCUGAUAAAAAAAUUACUUUUAAAAAGCUCUGUCUGAAUUAACUGCUGAAAUGAGAAGCUUUUCUAUGUCUGGAGUUCAGUGAAAUGUAAUGAAUGGUGUUUUAGCACUACCUGACUGCAGCUAUACGUUCCAAAUGUGACAUACUAUUAAUGUCACCACACAUGACAGAAAAUUCAAACCCAUGAGAGAAAAGAGAUGAAUCGUCCACAAAUCCACCUUACUGGAAAAGCCACAAGAGAUUACCCGGCAGUGUCAUAACGAGCCCUCCAGCAAUGCCUGCCGCGUUUCUGUGCCGCAGCUCAGCGAUGCGAACACCCCGCCAUCAUUCUGUCACCACACGCACAAAGCGGGGCUUUCUCAUCUUCUGCUUGCUGUUUCUCCAGAGGAAAUGUCAUACCGCGAUCCGGCAGCACCGCUGAGGAAGUUUUUCAGCUUUCUGUACGCGCUGACACACGCCGGUGGAAAUUUGCACUCGGUUUUGCCUUCCUCUCGUUGUUCCCCUUUGCCUUUCAGUGACCGAAGCGCAGGCGGUCACCACGCACCCCCCUCCCAUAGCAGCCUGCAUGAGCCAACGUCGCGAAGAAAAGGUAAAAAAGUUCAAACACGAAGGAGGAAAGGCACCGGCAGCCUCCUGAGGAGAGCUCCGCGUGCAGAGCGCCCCGCAGGCCGGCACAGCCCGGGGGCACGGUCUGGAAACCCCCGCCCGACGCGCAGGGAAAGCACGUUCUGCGUGGGGAACCCCGCGCCGCCAGGAAAGCACCCGCCGUCCCGCCCAGCGCCGUGCGGUGCCGCUCCUCGCUCAGCAAACGGGCAGCGGGGACACAGCGGCUCCCGAGGGGAUCCGUACAGCUCGGGGUGGGGAGGGAGCGCACAAGGCUCGGGGGGAGCCUGCUCCGACCGCCCUGAGAGAUGAGGACCAAAGACACAAAACGCUGCCAUGGCCGCGACGGAAAGA